UACGUAGGGGGCAAGCGUUAUCCGGAAUUACUGGGUGUAAAGGGUGAGUAGGCGGCAUGGUAAGCCAGAUGUGAAAGCCUUGGGCUUAACCCGAGGAUUGCAUUUGGAACUAUCAAGCUAGAGUACAGGAGAGGAAGGCGGAAUUCCUAGUGUAGCGGUGAAAUGCGUAGAUAUUAGGAAGAACACCAGUGGCGAAGGCGGCUUUCUGGACUGAAACUGACGCUGAGGCACGAAAGCGUGGGGAGCGAACAGG
rnacentral:rRNA from 1 species